UGACUGGUCUAAACAGAGAAGGGGGAAGCAGCAGCAGGACAUUCAGUCUACAAAGAGGCUUUAGCAGCCGAUGUCCAGUUUACAAAUGGUGGAGUACAGGACCCCCAGAGCUACAAGCAAAAUGCUAACUACACAAUCAUCCAGUCUGAGUAAACAGCAAGCGGAUGGUACUUUUACCUUUACCCCUCCAAAAUGGCCGACUCGCU